GGAUGUGAGGGCGAUCUGGCUGCAACAUCUGUCACUCCAUUGAUCGCCAGGGUUGAUUUGGCUCAUCUGGCUGGCUAGGCAGGUGUCCCCUUCCUCCCUCACCGCUCCAUGUGCGUCCCUCCCAAAGCUGUGCGCUCGGUCAAAGAGGACGACCUUCCCCGCAAGAGGAGGACCGGACUGCGCUCCCCUGCUAGAACCUCCAAACAAGCUCUCAAAGUCCAUAGUAGAUUAAAAACAAAAAUAAAAGACUUUUUAUGCAGAGGAGCACAGUGAGAGGAACACCAAGUUUCUGCCU
rnacentral:snRNA from 1 species